GUGUCAGCAGCCGCGGUAAUACAGAGGGGGCAAGCGUUAUUCGGAAUUAUUGGGCGUAAAGGGCGCGUAGGCGGCUUUUCAAGUGACGGGUGAAAUCCCUCGGCUUAACCGAGGAACUGCCUGUCAGACUGGAAGGCUUGAGACCGGGAGAGGUGAGUGGAAUUCCCAGUGUAGCGGUGAAAUGCGUAGAUAUUGGGAGGAACACCAGUGGCGAAGGCGGCUCACUGGACCGGAACUGACGCUGAGGCGCGAAAGCGUGGGGAGCAAACAGGAUUAGAUACCCUGGUAGUCC
rnacentral:rRNA from 1 species